rnacentral:rRNA from 1 species
UCCUACGGGAGGCAGCAGUGGGGAAUAUUGCACAAUGGGGGGAACCCUGAUGCAGCGACGCCGCGUGGGUGAAGAAGUAUCUCGGUAUGUAAAGCCCUAUCAGCAGGGAAGAAAAAUGACGGUACCUGACUAAGAAGCACCGGCUAAAUACGUGCCAGCAGCCGCGGUAAUACGUAUGGUGCAAGCGUUAUCCGGAUUUACUGGGUGUAAAGGGAGCGCAGGCGGCACGCUAAGCCUGAUGUGAAAACCCGCGGCCCAACCGCGGGAGGGCAGGGGGAACUGGCGGGCGGGAGUAGCGGAGGGGG